AUAAAAUAGUAUUUGAAUAUGUUUUAUAAAUAAUGCUAUAAUAAAUAUCUAAAACUGUGACAUGCAUUGCAUCUACCUGAUUAUCAUAAUAACUCUGUAAUGUAGGUCUUACUCUUUUAUAGGUUAAGAAAUUGAAUUUUAAAGAUGUAAGAUGAAUAAUUAAUUCUCAGAAAGUUUUGGUGAGAUGGGAUUUGGGAUUUAUACCAUUAAAGCAAGCAAUAUGUUUAUAUUGUAGGAAAACUGAUUUCAAACCAUCAAGCAUAAUUUGGGUCACACUGUCAUAGCACCGUAAACAUGCACAAAUUUACAGAAGUACAGAACUGGAAUCUAGGGAACUGCAGAGUGAACUGACCAGAAGAGAGUUACUAACUGGAGGAGGCAGGGUAAGGAGGAGACAGUGGAGCAGUGUUUACUAUCUUUUCGCCUCGGUCCAAUCUCUGAAUAACUUUCACUUUUGUUUCCAUGGUUAUUGCUUUGCUUUUCCUAGCAGUCUCCUCCACAUCUCCACUGCUUUUCGAAAGCCUUGCUCCUUGACAUCCUGGGCUCUGAUUGAGCAGUGUACUACUGUACACCAUCGCAGCAUACAGUAAGAACACAGCACCACAACUGUGAUGGUGUCUGGUGGAUAUGUGAACAACUUCCAUGAUUUGUUCACAUCUACAAAUGUUCAUCAUGUGAUGUCCAUUUGUAUCUGUUGUAUCUGUGAAAGUUUGCAACUGAAUGUUCAUAAGUGAAGGACUUUCUGUAUCCAACCUAGGGUUAGAUAGGUAUGCUUAUGUGCUCAGUCUCUUCUUGGCUUGCCAAGAACUGAGCUCUGUGCUAUUGCUCUAAACCAAAUCCUAGGUUAGGUUAUCUGCCUUCAAAACUUGCCCAUUUUGUCUGACAAAGUGGGAGGAGGGCAAGUGAAAUGAGUAGACACUUCUCCGAAGUACAAAUGGCCAAUGGAUACAUGAAGAUAUGUUCAGAGAGAAGUGCAAAUUAAAACAACACUGAUAUUCCAUCUUAGCCCAGAAAAAAUGGCAAUGAAUAUAUGAAGCUAAUGUAGCAUUUACACACAAUGGAAUAGUACUCUGCUGUAAAGAAGGAUAAACUUGAGUAAUGAAUAGGAAAAUGAAUGCACCUGGAGACCAUAAUGUUAAGUGAAAUAAAUCAGACACACAGGCUUAAAUGUUGCAUAGUUUCAAUUAUAGGAGAAGCCAAAAAUAUAAAUAAAGAGCAAAAUAAAAGAUAGAUAAUAGGAAAUAAGAUCUUUCUCAAAUGGAAAGAGAUCAGGAGAUAGGGAGAGGAGAGUUGGGAGAAUAGCAGAAGGACCUGAAGAAAGAUGUGUUAUGUACAUGUACGAACUCCAUGCAAUGAAUGUAAUCAUUAUGCAUUACAGACAUGUACUAAUAACAAAUAAAAUAAUAAAAAUUUAAAAAACAAAAAGAAUAAUACUUAUAUAAAAUUAUUUCAAAAAAGAGUGAGGAGGCCAAAUAUAUAAGAUCAACACUACUAUUAAAAUGAUGAAAAAACGCUUUACAUAUUAUCUUUGCAUUUGCAGGACUGAACAUAUUUAUAUGGGAGAAUUUCCAUAUUCAUGAAUCUUACAUCUCUUUUGUGAAAUAUAAUUAGUUUGAGAUUUUUAAAGGAAGGGGUUCAUAGUAUUCAUUACACAAUGGCCAUUUGGGGACUUCACUGAUGAGAUUUGCCAGCUUUUGGAAACAACUUUCUGCAGGUUAAUAAACCUUAUGAUUUGGGCUUCUUUCUUUUGUGUUUGUUUUAGUUCAGUUUUAUACCUGUAUAAAGAAAAGACAAAAUCAAGAGAGCCUUUAAUACGCUUCAGUCCCUUUCCUAGAGUGCUAUUCCUUUUAUUAUUCAGAGAUGAACUUUCCAUGUAUUCUCUCAUAGAACACUCAAUUUUACUUUUGCUCUACAUUAAAAUAUAAAAUAUUUCUUGAACUGAAAG
ensembl:lncRNA